rnacentral:lncRNA from 1 species
UACAGAUCAACACUGCUUUACCUCAUCCGCACCAACAGGCUCUGCAGUGCCCCAAACGUCUGUCAGUGGCAGUCUGUGAGGAACGGCCCUGCAGAACACGCAGAGUCACGCGGGGUCUCCUCCUCCUGCUCCUCCAGACGCCGCAUUCCUUCCUCUGGCACACGGAGCUCAGCUGCUGCUGCUGCAGGCAGUGCUUCCCGUGUCUGCCCAGCCUAAAGCUAUCAGACAGCGUUAGCGGAUGCCUGGUGCUCACAUACAAGCACAAGUGCUGGUGGAAAAUCACCGCAAAGCACAGAUGGAGUGGCUGGCACCUUGCAGUGAGCAAAGGCUGAGAUGCACAAUGUCCUCACCUGCUUGCUUCUUGGAAGUGGAGGAUCAACAGCAGCUCCUCUCGUGAUUAAGUCCUCCAAAAACCUUCUUCUUUCUUCCUGAUCAGGAGACUGGAUAGGGAAACCUUCUCCAAAGUCAUUAUUAAACAAUUUCUGUACCUGAAGCCCAAGGAGAAAACACGUUUCAGAUUUAAGACCACAAAACAAUCCUACUCUAUUCCAAUACAACUUCAAUUCUGAUUUAAGUUUCAUGACUGGCAUUUCAGCCACUCUAUUAUGGAUAGGUUAAAGCCAAGGGGAAGGGAGGGAGAGGGGGGGCGGGGGAGCCUUCUAGCCCAACAUCCCCUUAUAGCCCACCCUAUAGCCCUCCAUCACCCUAGGGUCCCACACAGUCAAUUCUGGAACCACAUCUUCCAUUCACCCCCUAUAGGCCCAUAUCUCCCUAUAUUCCCCCAUUGCCCCUCUCAGCCCCUCUACAUCCCCCCCGCAACCCCUUAUAGUAUAACAACCCUCACUAUAGACCCUCCCCAGCCCACUAUUAUCCUACAGACCCUCCCACAGCCCACCACAACCCCCUAUAGUUCCAUUAACACGUUAAAGGGAGGGGGGAGCCUUCUAGCCCCACAACCCUUAUAGCCCACCUUAUAGCCCCCUAUCACCCUAUGGCCCCACACAGCCCCUUAUAGAACCAUAUCCCCCAUGCACCCCCUAGAGCGACAUAUCACCCUAUAGUCCUCCUAAAGCCCAUCCACUGCCCCUUAUAGUCCCAUAUCCCACUAGAACUCUCCUACAGCCUUCCCACUACCCCUUAUAGGCUCCCCACAGAACUGUAUAACUUCCCCAAUAGCUCCAUAUAGCCCCCCAACAUCGGAACUACCCCUCCUCCAGAGCCCCCCAGUCUUCUAUAUCCCCCCAUAUCCCCUUAUAAUCCAUCUAUAGUNNNNNNNNNNNNNNNNNNNNNNNNCAUAUCCCACUAGAACUCUCCUACAGCCUUCCCACUACCCCUUAUAGGCUCCCCACAGAGCUGUAUAACUUCCCCAAUAGCUCCAUAUAGCCCCCCAACAUCGGAACUAUAUCCUCCCUCCAGAGUCCCCCAGUCUUCUAUAUCCCCCCAUAUCCCCUUAUAAUCCAUCUAUAGUCCCCCCAUUUUCCUAUAGCCCCAUAUCUCCCUAGAGCCACAAUAAAGCCCCCUAUACUCCCA